rnacentral:rRNA from 1 species
GACGAACGCUGGCGGCGUGCUUAACACAUGCAAGUCGAACGAUGAAGCUAGAGCUUGCUCUGGUGAAUUAGUGGCGAACGGGUGAGUAACACGUGAGUAACCUGCCCCGAACUCUGGGAUAACUGCUGGAAACGGUAGCUAAUACUGGAUACGACCUACGAAGGCAUCUUCUGUAGGUGGAAAGAAUUUCGGUUCGGGAUGGACUCGCGGCCUAUCAGCUUGUUGGUGAGGUAAUGGCUCACCAAGGCGACGACGGGUAGCCGGCCUGAGAGGGUGACCGGCCACACUGGGACUGAGACACGGCCCAGACUCCGACGGGAGGCAGCAGUGGGGAAUAUUGCACAAUGGGGGAAACCCUGAUGGAGCGAUGCCGCGUGCAGGAAGACGCUUUUCGGAGUGUAAACUGCUUUUAAUAGGGAAGAUUAUGACGGUACCUAUAGAAUAAGGACCGGCUAACUACGUGCCAGCCGCCGCCGUAA